rfam:Ricinus communis cultivar Hale ctg_1100012314953, whole genome shotgun sequence.
CCUUGAAUUACAAUUUCCACCGGGCGGCGGACUGAAUCCUUUGCAGACGACUUAAAUACGCGACGGGGUAUUGUAAGUGGCAGAGUGGCCUUGCUGCCACGAUCCACUGAGAUUCAGCCCUUCGUCGCUCCGAUUCGU